CUCAAAGGAAUUGACGGGGGCCCGCACAAGCGGCGGAGCAUGCGGAUUAAUUCGAUGCAACGCGAAGAACCUUACCAAGGCUUGACAUGAACCGGUAAUACCUGGAAACAGGUGCCCCGCUUGCGGUCGGUUUAUAGGUGGUGCAUGGUUGUCGUCAGCUCGUGUCGUGAGAUGUUGGGUUAAGUCCCGCAACGAGCGCAACCCUCGUUCUAUGUUGCCAGCGCGUUAUGGCGGGGACUCAUAGGAGACUGCCGGGGUCAACUCGGAGGAAGGUGGGGACGACGUCAAAUCAUCAUGCCCCUUAUGUCUUGGGCUUCACGCAUGCUACAAUGGCCGGUACAAAGGGUUGCGAUACUGUGAGGUGGAGCUAAUCCCAAAAAGCCGGUCUCAGUUCGGAUUGGGGUCUGCAACUCGACCCCAUGAAGUCGGAGUCGCUAGUAAUCGCAGAUCAGCAACGCUGCGGUGAAUACGUUCCCGGGCCUUGUACACACCGCCCGUCAAGUCACGAAAGUUGGUAACACCCGAAGCCGGUGGCCUAACCCUUGUGGGGGGAGCCGUCGAAGGUGGGACCGGCGAUUGGGACUAAGUCGUAACAAGGUAGCCGUACCGGAAGGUGCGGCUGGAUCACCUCCU
rnacentral:rRNA from 2 species